UACGUAGGGUGCAAGCGUUGUCCGGAAUUAUUGGGCGUAAAGAGCUCGUAGGCGGCUUGUCACGUCGGGUGUGAAAGCCCGGGGCUUAACCCCGGGUCUGCAUUCGAUACGGGCUAGCUAGAGUGUGGUAGGGGAGAUCGGAAUUCCUGGUGUAGCGGUGAAAUGCGCAGAUAUCAGGAGGAACACCGGUGGCGAAGGCGGAUCUCUGGGCCAUUACUGACGUGAGGAGCGAAAGCGUGGGGGAGCGAACAGG
rnacentral:rRNA from 1 species